CUAAAAUUCCAGACUUAUCCAAUUUUCAGCAUUUUUCAUUUCUGCUCCGUUUUUGCUCGUUUGACCUUCGAUUCUUUUCAAAUCGAACCGAGACUCUCCAAACAUAUUUUCGAGCAUAUUUUCAUCAUCUUUUCACACGCGCUAAUGCCGGAUUUAAUUCUUGGUCCAACAUAGCCUUUCGGGUUCCGUUUUCGCGCCUACGCACACCGAAACGCCCGAAUGCUCCCGAACUUCAUUGAACUUCACCGGAACCAUUCAAAUGGCUUUCCAACUAAAUGUACACUGUAACUUCAUAAUU
rnacentral:lncRNA from 1 species